UACGAGGGGGCUAGCGUUGCUCGGAAUCACUGGGCGUAAAGGUGCGUAGGCGGUCUUAAGUCAGGGUGAAUCCUGGAGCUCAACUCCAGAACUGCCUUGAUACUGAAGAUCUUGAGUUCGGAGAGGUGAGUGAACUGCGAGUGUAGAGGUGAAAUUCGUAGAUAUUCGCAAAGAACACCAGUGGCGAAGGCGGACUCACUGGCCCCGAGUACU
rnacentral:rRNA from 1 species